CCAACGGCUCUUUUAAGAGCCACCCACACUUUCAUAAAGAGCACAU
rfam:Danio rerio chromosome 25, GRCz11 reference primary assembly.